AUCGCUUUCCUCUUAAUGGUGAAAGGCGUUAGAGAGAUCCUUCAGUUCUUGAGACCAGGGCGGGAGCAAAGGAAGAGUGGAAGGUAUCUAUCGGGCUGUCUGGUCCCCCAAUGGGGGAGGUUUCAGAAUUGCAUAGUCAGAGGUUAAAAACUAAGAACACGAGGCACUGAAUCGCCUUGGCUUCGGCCGCUCGCACCGCCGCAGCCUCCUCCAGCAGCAAGCGCCCAGAGCUGCCGCCUCUGGCCACGGCCACCGCUAUGGGGUCCUCUCCAGGCGCCACUGACUCCCCUCAGCUUCCCAGGUUACCCAGGGCGGGCGGCGCGGUCUCCAGCUCGGCUCGUGCCCGCUGCGCGCCGUGUCUUCGUGGCGGUGACGCGGCAGCUGCGUUUUUUUCUCCCGCAGACCCUGCUCCGGGUCCCACCCCUGGGCCCAGGCGGGAACAGCUCCACUGCACACUGGAUGCCCCCGAGGCGCGGCGACCCUACAGCAGCCCAGGCAGAGCCCAGCACCGGACCGGGAAGCCCCUCCCCUCUAAAAGCAGGCCAGGCUCGCCCCGCCUCCACGCGAGAACCCCGGUGGGGGGCAGGGGAGGGACGGGACUGGCGAAGCCCUCGCUGGAAGCGUAAAUCCUCCUACCCCUCCAACCCUACUCUUACCCCCUCGCCCCACCAAGAAUUAUUCAUCAAAACAACAGGGCGGCCAUCUUUGAAAGGGGUCACGUGACCCUCGCCGGGGAGGCGGGGCUUCUCGCUCUGGGAUUCGCCAGCCAAUAAGCAGCGGGCGUCGCGCCGCCGAUUUCCUCUUCGCUUGCAUCCUGUCCCCGCCCCCUGCCCCACCCCCUCUUCCCUGAGCGGCGCCAGGCGGGGGGAGGGGCGAGAGGGGCUGCUAAGAGGAGACGAGGAGGAGGCGGGGCGGACAGUCACCAUGGAGACUGAGCGGAGGCGAGGGGCGCGGUGGGCGGGGCCCAGGUAGAAUUGCUGAGGGCAGGAUGUGCCAAUCCGAAUAUGGCCCUUCCACGGGCUCUCCCCUGCGCCUUGGGUUUCUGCGGUGCUAGUUUGUUCCCAUGUGGAUCCUGCUGUGGAGUGACUUGGAAAUCCUCCAGGAUGCUGCAAGCCGGCUACAGACAUUAGAAGAACUGAGGAAUCGGAAACACAUUUGCUUUCUGCAGGGAGCAUUUAGCACCAUCCUGCAAAUACCUUGUCCCACUCUUUUCCUCCCCCAGGAAAACCCAUGGAAGAAAACUAACAGGAUCUUAAUUUUAUUUUACCUUGUUCUUUUAGAGAGGUGCUCUGCUUUAAGGGUGUAGAGACUCAAAUUAUUGAGAAAUGUAUUGAACAAUGACUUAGUAACUAACCCUUUGUAAUGCCAGCUCGGCCGGACAACAAAAACUUACUUUACAAUCAAUGUAUAAAUACAAAUUGAAAAAUCUAACAGAACCGUGAAAAUCCAGAUUUUGCCACAAAGUAUAUAUCGUAUGGCUUACAAAAGCCAUAAUCAUCUCGUUCUUAAUUGUUCUUGAGACAGAAUCUUGCUAUGUAUUUCAGAUAGCCCCAAAUUUGAAAUCCUGCCUGAACGCUGGGGUAUGCACCACCAUCACAGAUUACCCAACUAUAACAUUAAUGUAUGUAUAUGUGUAUACAUGUAUGUAUUUGAAACAGGGUCUCGCUGGCCUGGAACUCACAGAGAUCUGCCUGCCUCUGCCUCCCAAGUGCUAGGGUUCAUUACCGGCUACUCUUAGCUGAACUAUAAUCUUAAACAUUCCACUCCUGUUUAAAAGAGUUACAGUUGAUCUUAUCCAAGGGGACAAGAAGUGACUAAAAUAGUUACAAUUUGUUUGCUACAUGCUAAAAAUGGGAACAUGACUAUUAGAUAUGCAAAGAGUCUGUGAGUAAAAUUAAAUCGCUGCAGGCUUUUCAGGACUGCAUUCUACUUUCCAGGAAAUGAAUUCUGUGUAAGCCAUUUUGCACCCCUAGUUACACUGAUGUCAAUUACAUUGUUUUUCUGAAAACAUGAUAAUUGCCAUGUAGCCUCAGAUUAAAUCACACAAGUAAAGUAUACAAUGGCUUUAGGGUAGUGAGAGUUCUUUAACAUCAUUGCUCUUUAAUUUCAGAACAUUUUAAUCACCCACCCAGCCAUCCAACACACUAUAACCAUUCCUCCUCAUCCUGCCAUUACUUCCGAUAGCCGAUCUGUCCUCUGGCUCCCCGGACUUACCUACUCUGCACAUUUCACAUCAAAUAAAUUGAACAUUUGGUAACUACUCUUGCGGGGCCUCAACUGCACUGCUUUUUUGGGCUUCAGAAAGAUAGUUUUUCCUCCUUGAGGCCUUGACGUUUGCUGUCUCCUUUGUCCCAAAGACUCUUCUCCUGGACUUUGCAUGGCUUAUUCCUUCUUAGUGUUUAGGUUUUAGAUUUGAUGUCAUUUCCUCACUGCUGCAUUAAUUUGCUUAUCAAGUAUAUGUAUGGAUAUGUUCCUGUUUGUGGAGGUGUACAUCUAUGUAUAUAUGUGUGUGUGUGGAGGACAGAGGACAGCCUUGGUGUCAUCUCAGGAACACCAUCCACCUCUAUUGAAACACGGCCUCUCAUUGGCCUGGAGCUCACCAGUUAGGUUGGACUGCUAGCCAGUAAGCCCUGGAGAUCCUCCUGUCUCCGCCUCCCCAGCCUGGGGCUUGCAAGCCUCCAAGCCUGGCAUUUUUACAUAGGGUUUGGUGAUAGAAUUCAGGCCCUCAUUCUUGCAAAGUCAGACAUCAACUUGUAGAAAUUGGUUCUUCCUUCCACUGUGUGGGCUUUGAGGAUCAAACUCAGAUCAAUUGGCUUAAUGGCAAGUGCCUUUACCUACCAUGCUGUCUACCAGAAGAACACAGCUUUUUCCUUUGCCCAGGAUUGGGGCUAUAAAUCAGUGGUAGAAUGCUUGCCUAAGUAUUUAUGAAGCCCUGUAGGACAGAAAAUAAUAAUAAUAAUAAAUAGUCUUCCU
rnacentral:lncRNA from 1 species